rnacentral:rRNA from 1 species
GACGAACGCUGGCGGCGUGCCUAAUACAUGCAAGUCGAACGCAGUGGGGACGGGUGAGUAACACGUGGGUAACCUCCCAUCAGAGGGGAUAACACUUGGAAACAGGUGCUAAACCGAUACUGAUGGAUGGACCCGCGGUGCAUUAGCUAGUUGGUGAGGUAACGGCUCACAAAGGCCACGAUGACUACCGGACCUGAGAGGGUGAUCGGCAACACGUGGAAUGAGACACGGCCCAGAAUCCUAAGAGAGGCAGCAGUAGGCAAUCUUCGGAAAUGGACGAAAGUCUGCACGAGCAACGCCGGGUGAGUGAAGAAGGUUUUCGGAUCGUAAAGCUCUGUUGUUAGAGAAGCGGUAUCUACCCAGAAAGCCACGGCAAACUACGUGCCAGCAGCCGCGGUAAUAC